GACGAACGCUGGCGGCGUGCUUAACACAUGCAGGUCGAACGGUGAAGGACGGAGCUUGCUCCGACCGGAUCAGUGGCGAACGGGUGAGUAACACGUGAGUAACCUGCCCCAGACUCUGGAAUAACCCCGGGAAACCGGAGCUAAUACCGGAUACGAGACGGAGAGGCAUCUCUACCGUCUGGAAAGUUUUUCGGUCUGGGAUGGACUCGCGGCCUAUCAGCUAGUUGGUGAGGUAAUGGCUCACCAAGGCGACGACGGGUAGCCGGCCUGAGAGGGCGACCGGCCACACUGGGACUGAGACACGGCCCAGACUCCUACGGGAGGCAGCAGUGGGGAAUAUUGCACAAUGGGCGAAAGCCUGAUGCAGCGACGCCGCGUGAGGGAUGACGGCCUUCGGGUUGUAAACCUCUUUCAGCAGGGAAGAAGCGAAAGUGACGGUACCUGCAGAAGAAGCACCGGCUAACUACGUGCCAGCAGCCGCCGUAAGAC
rnacentral:rRNA from 1 species